rnacentral:rRNA from 1 species
UACGAAGGGGGCUAGCGUUGCUCGGAAUCAUUGGGCGUAAAGGGUGCGUAGGCGGGUCUUUUAAGUCAGAGGUGAAAUCCUGGAGCUCAACUCCAGAACUGCCUUUGAUACUGAGGAUCUUGAGUUCGGGAGAGGUGAGUGGAACUGCGAGUGUAGAGGUGAAAUUCGUAGAUAUUCGCAAGAACACCAGUGGCGAAGGCGGCUCACUGGCCCGAUACUGACGCUGAGGCACGAAAGCGUGGGGAGCAAACAGG